rnacentral:miRNA from 1 species
CGGGACUACUUCAACUACUUG